rnacentral:rRNA from 1 species
UACGUAGGUGGCAAGCGUUGUCCGGAUUUACUGGGCGUAAAGGGCGUGCAGGCGGUCUGUUAAGUGCAGGGUGAAAGCUCCCGGCUCAACUGGGAGAGGUCCUUGCAUACUGGCGGACUUGAGGGGGGUAGAGGAAAGUGGAAUUCCCGGUGUAGUGGUGAUAUGCGUAGAUAUCGGGAGGAACACCUGUGGCGAAGGCGGUUCUCUGGGCCUUACCGUG